CCCGGGGCUAAUACAUGACAGAAAAGAAUCUACUGUUAGGAAGCAGACUGCAAAAAUAGACAGAGCCUCAGGAGUUGCGUCUGGCUGCUAUGAUGAUUGCUGACGAUGCAGUAUUAAAUAACUCGAAAACGCAGACUUCCGGAACACUACUAGCAGCAAGGAAGACAUGGGUGUAUUUGCAUUUUUAAGUUGUCUGAAGAUGGGGGACCCUGAAACGUCACAGGAUGUGAAUAAAUAGUUUGAAAAGA